GUCAUCUUUCUUGUUUCAUAAGAUAUUGCCUGUUAAUUUCUGAUUUUCUGAAUACAGAAAAAAAAAGCUACCAAACAAAAAACCUCCAACCCAAACCAUCAAAACAACUCAAAGGAGAGGAAUCAUCUGAAGUGAUGCAAGCAGAAACCCAUUUCCCCUCCAAAGUAGAAGCAGACCUAUGCAAGAUACACUGAAUUUUUGCCUUCCUUAAAUCAAACCUAACUACACUGAAAAAGAGUAUCAGCAUCCUUCAGCACCCUGUCAGUAAACAAGCAGUUUGAAGCAUUCAGUGCUACGAGCAAGAUCCAGACUUGAGGAUGAAGACUGAAUGAAUGGUCAGCAGUGGCUGGGGAAGACAAAAACCUGUAUCCUUCAUUCAAAGUGACAUGGCUUACGGCUUCUGUGUACAAAUUACUUGUUCCUUGCAUUAGGCUGAAACUCUGCCUUACAACACAUUUUCAUCACAAAAUAAUCAGAAAUAAAUAAUAAUGAGAAAGUGUUCUCUUACCUCUGUCCCCAUUAAUUUUGAGAUAAAAUCUCACCUUCAUGCUACUAGAUUUUUUUAUGUGUUUUGUAAUUUCUAACUGGUAGGGCAUCAUAAAAAUUUAUGUUCAGAUACCAUAAACCUUUGUUCUAAGAGGAGGGUUUCCUUCUGUUCAAACUGAAAACAGACUAUGCCCAUCCAAAAUUGUUCAAAUUAGUCUUGAAUUGUUCAUACAGAUCUACAACCUAGUUGAGUGACCACUGAACUAUGUUUGGCUUUGACUACACUCUCCGGCUCUGAUACUGACCCUGAUUUGACAUUCCCAACCCUGGGUCCUCCUUGGUGUGGUCACUUUUGCAUCUGCCUUUUUAUUACACAAUUCUUCUGACUCAACUUUCCUUGUUGGGCAGCCAACCCUUCUUGCUCCCUAAUACUUUCAAACUAAUCUUUUGACUAGGAAAAACUUUUCCAUUGAAGCACAUGGUUAAGACUUUGCUUUUUUGCUGUGGUCCGUUCUCUCAGCAUUCUGAAUUUUACUAUCUUAUGCCCACUGCAGCCAAUGUUGCUACUAACCUAUUAUCCCAGAAAUUCUGUUCCAGACUAGAACUGCGCAAAGACCUAAAUGAAAGUACCUGAAACAACAUGCUUUGCCUCCCUCCUUCAGCUGAAAAAACAUGUUUAUAAAAUACUUAAAAAUGCUUAAAGGAGGAUUGUAUUCUUUUACUCUGACAUUUUUUCUUGUGCUAAAGAAUACUAAUUCACAAGUAGUGCUUCAGGGGUAAAGAAAGGUGAAUGAGAUUCCAAGUUGCUUCAGUGAAUAAAUACCAUGGAUAAAUGUGAGCAAUGAUUUAUUUUCAUGGAUUAGGCAGCAUGACAGCAUACAAAAUGUGAUGUACUUGUGCUAUUGCUUUCUACAGGCAAAAGGUAUUUGUAAAAUAUUUACUAUUUCAACUAGUGGCUAAGUAGAGUACAUAAGCAUUUACAAAGUGUGAUGCUCAGCUGCUUUAAAAAUGUAAAGCAAUAUUAAAAUAAUCUUAUCUAUAUUACUUUCCAUUGCUUUUUUAAGAUACCCAAGGAUCUUAUUUGCUUCGUUAACCAGUGGCUGACCUAAGUGUGCAUGAACAGUUAAAAAAGCCUAUAAGGAUUCUGGCUGGCUUUAAAUGAUAAAGCAUGCUACUAAAAUAUUCUAAUGACUUUAUACAUCUGAAUGCUAUUUGGGAACUACGUCUAUGCUUUAAACCUUGAAUUACAGAUAUUGCUGGGAAUGAAAAUUCAAGGCACAGCCAACCAUUAAAAUUCCAUGAGUAUGAAGGCUUGGAAUAUCUUCUGAAGGAUGAUAAUUCCUGACAAGAAAUAGUUGAAAACUUAGUGUCCUCAAGAGAAAGCAAGCCAUUAAACUAACAUCCCCCACUAUCUCUGUGACAAAUUAUGUCAGUAUUCAGCUUUCUCUAUGUCAUAUCUCUCCUCUCAUCAUCUAGAACUUUUACUUCCUGCAAUACUUGAUGGGAGGAUUAUGUUCAGUUAAAUUUCUGUGGUUUUACAGGUAAUUCUCUACUGUAGCCUAACUCUUCUUCCCUCUGUGUUUUCCUGAACUGGUAACAGAAUUCAGUUUUAAAUAGGACCAGUAUUCCUUUUUUUAAUUAGUAAAGCACAGAUGUAAAAUUACUGUCAAAUUUUUUUGAGAUUAGAAGCAACACCUGUAUCAGGGAUUGAUAAUGGAGAGCUGAUUUACACUUUUGGUAACUAGCACAUAUUCACAGUAUUAACUUACAGAAACCCUUGGGAUGCAAGUGAAGGAGAGCAUGGGAUACAUAAUGCACAUGUGACCAAAGUCACUAAACCCCACCUAUAACAUGUGAUUGCUCAGUCACAUUGGGACGGGCCAAAAUUUACAGAAUAACAAGAGCGCUUCAGGGCAGAAAAGACUGAAAGACAAAAACAUCGCUGCCUGUUUGGGAUCAGUCAAUGGACUGUAUUGCUUCUCCUCUCAUGAAGGAAUCCCUUUAGAUUAGUUUUGCACCUCCAACUACAUAGGAGCACACCCAGGAAUAUCCAUUUAAACAUACACAGUGGUAUUAGAAUCUCUCAUGGUAUACUUUCUGUCACAACACAUAUUAACAGUGUUUUAGGAAUCCUGAACCUGAUUUCCUGCAGUUUCAAGUAUUCCUGAGUCUGGAUUGUGCAAAGUCCUUAUUGAAUGUGACCAGACCUAUAGGGCUGGGGGUAAAUUGCAUUACUUGUGCACCUGUUCUCGUGUAAGGCCUUUUGAACUUCACCAGACUCUUAGUGUUAAAUUGGUUAUAAUCAGAAACUAAGCUCAGCCACACCCAGCCCCUCUGAUCUCUCUGGAUCAGCUGGGCUGCAAGAGCAUUAUUUUCUUCUAAAUUCCCAUGUUCUUAACACAGUAAUGAAGAGAGUCAAGCAGCAAAACAGGCUCCUGGGAGAGGAUAUACAGUUUCUAUCCCUUGAGAUUUUCAAAAUCCAACUAAAUGAAGCCCAGAGCUCUCUGAGUGACCUCAGAGUUAAGUCUGUUAGGACCAGGAGGUUGGAUUAGAGACUUCCUGAGGUCUUCACAGCUGGAUUGUUCUGUGGUUUUUGUUGUGUGAUAUGUCCUUAUUUUAAUGUCUGAAAUCAAGUAGAAUACAAACUGAAAUUGGUGAAUGAUGAUUUUGUCUGAUGGGUAUACACAAAGUUUUUACAGGUAGCCAAAGAGAAUAUAAUAUUUUAAUCCUAUUGUUUGCUUUCUUGACAAAAGUAGUUAAUUGUUUAAUACUUUUUAGUAGACUUGAUCAGAAUUAUUUGUAAAAAUUGAUGCAGAGUUCUUGAUGAUGGAGAAGAUUUAAGUGUUUUAUGAAAAUGUAUUGUUUUCAAUGCUUGAGCUUAUCUCUGUAUGAUUUGAACUCAACAGAGCAAAAUGCAGAUUAGAUUAAAGAUUGUGAUCCUAAGAAUGCAAAUUUAGUCAAGCACAGACUGUCGUGUAUGAAAAGAGUUAAUGGCAAGAAAAAAAGAAAUCAGUAAAAAAUUGUUUUCUCCCAGACGAAGAGGUUGUUAUUUAAUU